AUUGAACGCUGGCGGCAGGCCUAACACAUGCCAGUCGAACGGUAACAGGAAGACGCUUGCUUCUUUGCUGACGAGUGGCGGACGGGUGAGUAAUGUCUGGGAAACUGCCUGAUGGAGGGGGAUAACUACUGGAAACGGUAGCUAAUACCGCAUAACGUCGCAAGACCAAAGAGGGGGACCUUCGGGCCUCUUGCCAUCGGAUGUGCCCAGAUGGGAUUAGCUAGUAGGUGGGGUAACGGCUCACCUAGGCGACGAUCCCUAGCUGGUCUGAGAGGAUGACCAGCCACACUGGAACUGAGACACGGUCCAGACUCCUACGGGAGGCAGCAGUGGGGAAUAUUGCACAAUGGGCGCAAGCCUGAUGCAGCCAUGCCGCGUGUAUGAAGAAGGCCUUCGGGUUGUAAAGUACUUUCAGCGGGGAGGAAGGGAGUAAAGUUAAUACCUUUGCUCAUUGACGUUACCCGCAGAAGAAGCACCGGCUAACUCCGUG
rnacentral:rRNA from 1 species